rfam:Myotis davidii contig203946, whole genome shotgun sequence.
GGCGGUUCUCAGGUGAUGAACUCCAGAAUCGGGCGCCCUCCUCUCUCUGGUUCCGGGUGUGUCAUCUGAGAACUGCC